rnacentral:lncRNA from 1 species
CAAGCACCGAGACCAAGAACUUGGCAGAGACCAGAGGGGUCCCAUCACCAGAGGCUGAAAUAACAGGAAUUAUAUGGAGCCUGCUGUGAGCAAGAGAUAAAGGGCAUGGAGGUUCUCGGGAAUGGGGGUGGAAGAAGAGAGGGGCUGUAUCUACAGGUGUGAAACCAUCCGAUCCAGACCAGCAGCAGGUGAGGAUGGGAGGCACAUGCAUGUCGGUUUCAGGAAGAUCAGAGCUCAAGUCCUGUGGUGUCAUUUACCCAAAGGGGUGAUGGUGAGAAAAUUAUUUUACUUUUCUGCUCAGUUUUUUGGUUUUGUUAUUUAUUUGUUUAUUUAAGCCACACACAUGGCAUGCAGAAGUUCCCAGGCUGGGGAUCGAACCUGUGCCACAGCAGUGACCCCAGCCAGCAGUGACAAGGUUGGAUCCUGCUGAGCGACACGGGAACUCCAUCUGCUCAGUUUUCGGUCUGAAAAAUAAUGGUAAUAAUCUUGUAGGGUUUCUGGGAGCCUUAAAGGUGACCAUGUAUGCAAAGCACUUUGUACAGUGCCUGGCACGUGGUAAUACUCAGUAAAUGCUGGCCACUGCUUUCAGAGACCAGAAAAACUACUGCCAGAUUUUUUUUUUUUUUUUUUUUUAACAGCAUGUAGAAUAUGGCAAAAUACUCUUGAGGAGAUUCAUGACAGAGCAAAAGUUUUUACCAUUCCUGAGUGAACUCCUCCAUGUGCCCAGCGCUAGGCUGGGUGGUUUCCUCUGAGAAUUCUCACUGGGAGAAUAAACGGCUAACAAAUUCUGUGCA